UUCACGGAGAGUUUGAUCCUGGCUCAGGACGAACGCUGGCGGCGCGCCUAACACAUGCAAGUCGAGCGACGACCCAUCCGCUUGCGGAUGCUGAAAGCGGCGAACGGGUGAGUAUCGCGUGGGUAACCUACCCUCGGCUCCGGGAUAGCCCGUGGAAACGCGGAUUAAUACCGGAUGGCCUUUCAGGUCUACGGAUCUGACAGAAAAGGUAGCUUCGGCCUCCGGCUGAGGACGGGCCCGCGUCCGAUUAGCUAGUUGGUGGGGUAAUGGCUCACCAAGGCUCCGAUCGGUAGCUGGUCUGAGAGGACGAUCAGCCACACUGGGACUGAGACACGGCCCAGACUCCUACGGGAGGCAGCAGUGGGGAAUCUUGCGCAAUGGGCGGAAGCCUGACGCAGCGACGCCGCGUGCGGGAAGAAGGCCCUCGGGUUGUAAACCGCUUUCAGGAGGGACGAAGCCACUCGGGUUAAUAGCCCAGAGGGUGACGGUACCUCCAGAAGAAGCCCCGGCUAACUACGUGCCAGCAGCCGCGGUAAUACGUAGGGGGCAAGCGUUGUCCGGAUUCAUUGGGCGUAAAGCGCGUGUAGGCGGUUCAAUAGGUCCGCUGUGAAAGCUCGAGGCUCAACCUCGAGAUGCCAGCGGAAACCAUUGGACUAGAGUCCGGAAGAGGAGAGUGGAAUUCCUGGUGUAGCGGUGAAAUGCGCAGAUAUCAGGAAGAACACCUAUGGCGAAGGCAGCUCUCUGGUACGGUACUGACGCUGAGACGCGAAAGCGUGGGGAGCGAACAGGAUUAGAUACCCUGGUAGUCCACGCCGUAAACGAUGG
rnacentral:rRNA from 1 species